GUCACAUGCCGCAUUUUAUCCACCGGUACAUCAAAAUCAAACGGAGCUGAACGUGAUGCCUGUACUUUAUUUUAGAGUGCCCCUUUCCCGCACUGAAUCCUCUGCUGGUUAAAACAUAAAAAGAAAACAAUACUUUGUGGAUACUUAAUGAU